AAUUCUAUUUCAGAACCAUCCUCAGAGAUACGAAAAACUAGUUUCAUAUUAAUCUGACACUGUUUUUCGUAUCUCUGAGGAUGGUUCUGAAAUAGAAUU